UAGUCCUUUAACUUUAGUCCCGUGAGGCUGAGAAGGAAACGUUGUUAAAGAGAAUCCAACAGGGAUUACUCUAUCCUCUCGUCAUGCGUGACGGGAGGAUUUUUUUU
rfam:Fictibacillus arsenicus strain G25-54, complete genome.